GACGAACGCUGGCGGCGUGCCUAAUACAUGCAAGUAGAACGCUGAAGGAGGAGCUUGCUUCUCCGGAUGAGUUGCGAACGGGUGAGUAACGCGUAGGUAACCUGCCUGGUAGCGGGGGAUAACUAUUGGAAACGAUAGCUAAUACCGCAUAACAGUAGAUGUUGCAUGACAUUUGCUUAAAAGGUGCAAUUGCAUCACUACCAGAUGGACCUGCGUUGUAUUAGCUAGUUGGUGAGGUAACGGCUCACCAAGGCGACGAUACAUAGCCGACCUGAGAGGGUGAUCGGCCACACUGGGACUGAGACACGGCCCAGACUCCUACGGGAGGCAGCAGUAGGGAAUCUUCGGCAAUGGACGGAAGUCUGACCGAGCAACGCCGCGUGAGUGAAGAAGGUUUUCGGAUCGUAAAGCUCUGUUGUAAGAGAAGAACGGGUGUGAGAGUGGUAAGUUCACACUGUGACGGUAUCUUACCAGAAAGGGACGGCUAACUACGUG
rnacentral:rRNA from 1 species